AUCAACAUCAAAGGUUACUAGGUUCCAGGUUCCUAGGCUACCAGGAAUUUUCCAGAAUGAUGAUAAAGUAUUGAAAGCGUCUUGUAGCUGUGGGUUACGUAAACCUAUAUGAAUGGGUGACAACGAAAGGACAAGGCUUCAUUAAGUAGGAGGACCACGUUUUAAAAAGGCAACAACUUUGCCCCAGACAAAUAGAAUGAUUGACUAUGGGACAAGAUGGACAAACUAAAAUGGGAGAGAAAUCAAUAAUGGAUUACUAAAACAUGGGUGUAACUCAGAGAAUCGGUUAUAAGAAACAAAGAUAUUUCUUAUUUUACGGGAAUCACCGAACAAUGUUAAAUCAGUGACAAAAACAAGAGACAAACAAACCCAUUCAUUUACUUCACCCUGGGGCUGCUUUAGAUUUAGGCCUUUGAUGUGGUUUACGCAGCCUCACACGUAUAGUAUACGGAGACAGUGGCAGGCAUGAAGGGUUCUGGAGCUGGACCCACAAUAUCUUCAAGUUCUGAAAGCUGAGAAGUACAAUGUCAAGGGACUACAUCAGGUGAAAGUCUUCUUGCUGGUGGGAACUUUCUACAGAAUCUCCAGGUGGUACAGAGUAUCACAUGGUGCAGAACCCUCAUGAUCCAAUCUCCUAUUAAGGGCCCCACUUCUCAACACUGCCAUACUGUGGACCAAGUUUCAACAUGAGUUUUGGAGGGGACAUUCAAACCACAGCAAUCUAGAACAAUGAAAGGAUAACCCCUCCCGCCAUUCUUUAUCACAUCAUACUACAAAUCCUUCCUAAUGCAAUAAAGUACAUAGAAUGGAAAGGAAAAUAUAAAACUGUCUUUGUUCACAGAUAAUAUGAUCAACUAUAUGGAAAAUCUGAAAGAAUCCACAAACUCCUGGAAAUAUUAAGCAGUUACAGCAAGGUUAUAGUGUGUCCGGAAUUGGUGGGUUCUUGGUCUUGCUGACUUCAAGAAUGAAGCUGCGGACCCUCGCAGUGAGUGUUACAGUUCUUAAAGAUGGUGUG
rnacentral:lncRNA from 1 species